ensembl:lncRNA
ACUUGAGAGAGCAUCAGAAUUAUCUGCAAGGCUUGUUAGAACACAGACUGUGUGAGAACCAGCCCCAGAGUUUCUGAUCAACGAGAGGACUGGGUACCAGCAACUUCUCAGAGGCGGCGCGGCAGCUGCCCUCGAGGCCCGGACUGAAAUGUGCGGAGCGGAGAGGGACCUCUGCUGUCCGUCGCUGUUGAGGGAGGGCUUCGGAGGGAGCUCCGAGGCUUUGGUGCAGAGACGAGAGACGCGGGACUGCGACAGUUGCCAGCAUCGGCUGGAGAUUCUUAUUACCACAGUUCCAAAGAGAGAAUCAAAGAUGGACACAAAGUGAACUCACGCAUAGCCAAGCUGCAAGAGCAUCCAGAUCUCACCAUGGGCCAGAAGCGUUAUCUCCGCAGCAUUGCUAAGAUCUAUAACGCAAACUACCUGAGGACAUGAAUGACGGGGCAGUACAUGAACGUGAUUCAAAGCAGCUCACUAAAGCCAGGUAUCCUCAUUCAUCACAGGAGUCGCCUCAGCUCUCGAUACUCACAGAAACAGGGUAUUGUACCCCUGCACUGCACGGCGACACCAGCGGGAAAGAGAGGACUCUUCUAGCAGUGCAGCUGCAGCUGCACCUGAAAUGAUCAUCCAGCAUCCUCUUUGGCGGCCAGUGAGAAACAAAGGGUUAAAAACUGGAUAUGCAUCUAAAAUAAGACGUAAGUCAGUGAAGAGUAAACUGUUUGUGCAAUCAGUUUCUUGAAAUGAUUCUGGAUCUUACCUGAAUGAAGAAAAAAGGGGGAUGAUCUGUGAAAUAAAUGUAUGCAAUCAAUGUCCGUUGAAGAACAGGGAGGACACCUAAUGGUAACCGGAUGGUCUUGUCACUGAAUUCACACAGCAGCUGAUAUCCAGACAUCAUGCCAAAGGGGUCGUAAAUUGUGUCCUGUGUGUAGGAUAGUGUUAUUCACCAUUAAGUCAUCCAUUUGGCUUGCUCAGAAACUUUCACAAUUGUAAUUGGUCUGAUACAGUUCUAUGUGCCAGUGCCAUUUGUGUAAUAGAAUUUAUGUGUAAUAUAUGCUUGUAUUUCUGGCUAGGUAAAUUAUAAUUUUUCUUGUCAUUUAAAAUUGAAUUAUUUUUGUUUAAAUCUGACAAAUGCACUGCAUAAUUCUUCUGUUUGCAAUAAAUCCUAAUAUGGC